AGAAAUUUAGGUUACCACACCAUAAACCAAUAGCCUUCAAAGCUAUAAACAUGAGCAAAAGCCUCAUAAUUUCUG
rnacentral:tRNA from 1 species